GGCGCUGUAGCUUAGUGGUAAAGCUCUUGUCUUGUCAAAAAGGAACGGUGGUUCGAGUCCGCCAGUGCCU
rnacentral:tRNA from 1 species